ACACGGCGCGAUUAUGAGUGGUAC
rnacentral:siRNA from 1 species